AGUGAACGCUGGCGAUAGGCCUAACACAUGCAAGUCGAACGGCAGCACAGUAAGAGCUUGCUCUUACGGGUGGCGAGUGGCGGGCGGGUGAGGAAUACAUCGGAAUCUACUUUUUCGUGGGGGAUAACGUAGGGAAACUUACGCUAAUACCGCAUACGACCUACGGGUGAAAGCAGGGGAUCUUCGGACCUUGCGCGAUUGAAUGAGCGGAUGUCGGAUUAGCUAGUUGGCGGGGUAAAGGCCCACCAAGGCGACGAUCCGUAGCUGGUCUGAGAGGAUGAUCAGCCAAACUGGAACUGAGACACGGUCCAGACUCCUACGGGAGGCAGCAGUGGGGAAUAUUAGACAAUGGGCGCAAGCCUGAUCCAGCCAUACCGCGUGGGUGAAGAAGGCCUUCGGGUUGUAAAGCCCUUUUGUUGGGAAAGAAAAGCAGCAGGUUAAUACCCCGCUGUUCUGACGGUACCCAAAGAAUAAGCACCGGCUAACUUCGUG
rnacentral:rRNA from 1 species